UACCACACUGAUAAAAAUUAUAUAGUAACAGUAACUAUUCACUCGCGUUUAAUUUUACUAUGGCCAUGCGCCACAAUCUAAUAGUAAAACUAACUACAAUUCCAUUUAUUCUGAACUACAGCGAAGGUUUUUGCACAGGUAUCUAGAGCACCCAUAGUAAAUUUAAACAUGCAAUUCAGUUCCCGCUAGCCUCGCCACGAUUUGUGAUUUUUGUUGUUUUUAGCAGUUUUCCACUUCACGCCAUCUUCAUUAAACAAAAACUGGUGCCGCAUUCAUAUUGACCUCACAUGCUCACAUAUAAGAAUUAUUGGUAUUCAUUACUGAAUGCUUUGACGGCUUUGAAGGACAUUCCUUGUUAAAAGGUUCCCGCGGAUUCUAUCCUAGAAAAAAUACACAAGUUCCAGUCGAAGUAGCCGUAGAUAGAUAAUGUUGAGCCGAAAAACCAUCCUGCUCAUCAAGCAACAACAUAUUUUCAUCACUUGUUUCUUCACCAUCGGAGAAGAAAAACCACAUAACAAUGAAUGAUUGGCGAGGAAUCUCCGCGAUUUUUGUCUUGCAUUACUAAUCCUUAGCAUGAAGUGUAUUAUUAUUUAUCAAUAAGAAAUAUGUCUAAAUUGACUAUCCUAUAUUUCUCCUGGAACAUCACGAAAAUAUCUGAAACACAAAUAAACGGUUACACAGAAAUAAUUUCUACCGUUCAUAGUAGUAUGGAACCACAACCCAUGGUAAAUUUUACUUUGUUCAUAUGCCAUGUUUUCUAGUGCCCAUGACGUAAACAUAUUUCAUUCUACUACUUCCCAAUUUUGAAAACGGCAUGGUAAA